rnacentral:rRNA from 1 species
AGGGAUUGGAUGGGGGGAACCCUGAUCAGCCUGCCGCGUGUGUGAAGAAGGCCUUUUGGUUGUAAAGCACUUUAAGCGAGGAGGAGGCUACUCUAGUUAAUACCUAGGGAUAGUGGACGUUACUCGCAGAAUAAGCACCGGCUAACUCUGUGCCAGCAGCCGCGGUAAUACAGAGGGUGCGAGCGUUAAUCGGAUUUACUGGGCGUAAAGCGUGCGUAGGUGGCCAAUUAAGUCAAAUGUGAAAUCCCCGAGCUUAACUUGGGAAUUGCAUUCGAUACUGGUUGGCUAGAGUAUGGGAGAGGAUGGUAGAAUUCCAGGUGUAGCGGUGAAAUGCGUAGAGAUCUGGAGGAAUACCGAUGGCGAAGGCAGCCAUCUGGCCUAAUACUGACACUGAGGUACGAAAGCAUGG